GACGAACGCUGGCGGCGUGCUUAACACAUGCAAGUCGAACGAGAAUCAAUGGAAAGAGACUUCGGUCAAUGGAAGUUGAGGACAGUGGCGGACGGGUGAGUAACGCGUGAGGAACCUGCCUUUCAGAGGGGGACAACAGUUGGAAACGACUGCUAAUACCGCAUAAAGCAUAGGUAUCGCAUGGUACAUCUGCCAAAGAUUUAUCGCUGAAAGAUGGCCUCGCGUCUGAUUAGCUAGUUGGUGAGGUAACGGCUCACCAAGGCGACGAUCAGUAGCCGGACUGAGAGGUUGGCCGGCCACAUUGGGACUGAGAUACGGCCCAGACUCCUACGGGAGGCAGCAGUGGGGAAUAUUGGGCAAUGGGCGCAAGCCUGACCCAGCAACGCCGCGUGAAGGAAGAAGGCUUUCGGGUUGUAACUUCUUUUGUCAGGGAAGAGUAGAAGACGGUACCUGACGAAUAAGCCACGGCUAACUACGUGCCAGCCGCCGCGGUAAAAC
rnacentral:rRNA from 1 species